GCGCCCCGCUGCCUGGCUGCCGACGGCCGCGGCGCGCACUGGCGCGUGCUCCGUCAUCUCCUCAGGGCCCCUGCGUUUUGAGGAGCGUCGGCUCUGGGAACCGCGUCCCCAGCAGCCGCGGACAGGUGUGAAAGCCACGCCUUGCCCGGCCGAGCUCACGUCCGGCCGCGCUCGGAGAGGGAGCGUCGCCAUGAAGGCGCUGGGGAUGUUUGCUGUCUACGCAAGCCCCACCCGCAGUCUCCGCACGCGGCCCUCGAUGCAUCAGGGGUCCUGUGCCAAGGCAGAGGACACAGCCUCAGGCGGCCGGGCACACGCGUGGCCACGCGGGGGCAGACGGACGGUGUGCCAGACCUGUCGGGGUCAGCCCUGCUCCCAGGCAGCCUGCUCCAGCAGGAGCCUCGGCCCAGGCCCCCCGAGGAGGAAAGGUGGCUGAAGCCGCUGUCCUCGUGUCCGCAGGCUGUGUUUGCGGAGCCUGUCUGCCAGCAGCGACUGCAGGACGCAGCCCGAGCUCUGUGCCCAUCACGCGCCAAGGCUUUUAGUGCUGAGUCUGUGUGAUGAGAGUCACCGCACCCUCCCGCAUGGGGCGCGUGGACAGAUCGUGGCCCCACGGCUGAACAGCUUCCCACGUUGCCCAGCCACGUCCUGGGCCAUGGGGGCAGAGGGAGGGCCGAGCACCACGCUGCCUGCUCACAGGGCGGACAUGCGGGGCACAGAGGGCGAGCGGUGCCGUGGCGGGCGCAGCGGGAGGCGGGAGGCAGCAAAUCGCUUGGGUGAUGACGGAGGACCGACACCACGCAGCUAGCCAAAGGUCAUUACAGCAGGGACUGUAGAUGGUGUCUUUGGUUGUGGAGACAAGAAUGCCCAUGUGAUGAGUCAGGUUCUCCUAGGAUUUGCUAUAAGGGAGAGAAUUAAAUGACACCCUAGAACACUAGGGUUCAUUAAAGUACAAAACCCUGUAUUUCCAUUUUAUUGUCAAUGAAAUGGGUAUAAAUAUCUUCUUUAUGGGAGCCGUCGCCAAGCUCCCACUUUCACCUCUGUGAGGGGCAAGGUCGGGUCUGCCUGCAGGAGCGUGGAGCUGGACGGAGAUCACACAGGGGACAGUGCGGGACUCCCGGCCGGCCGGCCAUGCGCAGCCGCGGCAGAGGCGGCACUCAGCUUCCUGGCUUCCUCCUCCUCCUCAGCUUUGCCUGUGCAGUUGCCCACCGUCCCUGGUAAGAACAUAAGCAAAGGUGGUGGCUGAGUCCCUCACACCCCAACCUCGGGGAGGGGCUUGCUGUCUCUCCGCGGCCGGUGCCUCUUUAGCCAGCAGGUGGGCACACUUCUCCUCGUGGCCCAGACCGCCCCGGCUGCGCCCCGGCCCACGCGCUGCGGGCGGGAGGAGCUGCCUGCAGAGCCGCGUUCUGUGCGAGGUCUGCCCAGCCGCGGGAGCUGCCCACUGCGUCAACGUCCCUGCCCUCCAGGGACAGACGCGCCGCUUGGACUUGCUCAGCGACGCUCCGUAUCCGUAGCAAGCUCUUUGCACGUUAGCUCCUCCAUGCCCGCACUCCGACAGGCUGCUGAGCCGUUUCGCAGAGGAACCCGAGGCUCAUCUGCGGGACAGCUCACCCAGGGUCACAGCCGCGGAGACGGCUUGUCUUGGGACGAAGGUGUAGAUUUACUUAACGUUGUUAAGGAGGAGAGUUUACAUAUGUGUUCUCAAAACUUAUAGUCCCCAUGUAGAAGUCUGAGUUGCUGCCUAGUAGGAAAUGCCCAGGAUUCCUGCCCCACAGCUCAUGUGGCACCAUGUCUAACUCUGAGCGAGGAGAGGCCCGUGCCAGGCCAGUGCCCAGACACUGCCGGGAGCCCCAGGUGUACUGUGAGCUCAGGGUACACAGAGCCCCUACCUUGGUGCUACCUUGUCAACGGUCUCCCCCCCACAUCAGGAGGCAGAGCCCUGGCUGAACCAGAAUGUUCUGGAUGUUUUAGGGAUCAGUGACCUUGGAGGAGGAGGCUGUGGAUGUCACCCGGGAAGAGGGGCCCCACUGGACCCAGGAAGCUGCACGGGAUGUGGCGGGGACCACAGCAGGCCCUGGGCCCGGGUCCGUCACGGGGCGCCCUCUCCUCCCUCGGCCCUCAGCGACACUCUCGGAGCACGGACAGUGGCCUGAAGGGAGUCUGUCAGCUUGCCUGCAUCUAGCUUGUCACCCACUGGAACACGGUCCUCUCUGUCACAGCCUCAUGCCUCUCCUGCUGCUCAAUCUCCUACGCCCACACGGUGCUGGGAACCCAGUGACUGCUUGAAUGAACACACAAGUGGAUCCAGUCUUUACUAAGUGGCAGUUCUGUUCUGAGGGCUGAGUUAGGGUCAGAGGCCACCACAGUGAAAGCGGCAUAGUAGGCUUCUGCCUCGACUCAGAACCUAGCUUGUGCUCGCGAGUUGCACUUAUUGGAUUACUCAUGGAAAUAAAGGUCAGCCCUCUGUGGAAGCAUUUAACCCUUCA